UACAGAGGGUGCAAGUGUUGUUCGGAAUCAUUGGGCGUAAAGGGCGCGUAGGUGGUAUGGUAAGUCAGAUGUGAAAUCCCUGGGCUCAACCCAGGAAUUGCAUUUGAUACUAUCAAACUAGAGUGCGAAAGAGGGUAGUGGAAUUCCCGGUGUAGAGGUGAAAUUCGUAGAGAUCGGGAGGAACACCAGUGGCGAAAGCGGCUACCUGGUUCGUAACUGACACUGAGGCGCGAAAGCGUGGGGAGCAAACAGG
rnacentral:rRNA from 1 species